rnacentral:piRNA from 1 species
UGGCAACACUCAAGUGGUAUCCACAGU